CGGUCAUGAUGGGGGCACUGUCUCUACAUGCUCUUGAACCAACCCCAGGCUUCAAAUAGGGAUUCUGAGUCUAUCUGCUUAAAAUUGGCAAUCAGGUUCCUCAUGUG